AUUGCACGCUAGCGGGAGGCCUUACACAUGCACGUCGAACGGAGUGGCGAACGGGGGAGAAAUGUAUCGGAACGUGCCCAGUAGCGGGGGAUAACUACGCGAAAGCGUAGCUAAUACCGCAUACUAUUGGAGCGGCCGAGAUCGGAUUAGCUAGUUGGUGGGGUAAGGGCUCACCAAGGCGACGAUCCGUGGCUGGUUUGAGAGGACGACCAGCCACAUGGGGACUUAGACACGGCCCGUACUCCUACGGGAGGCAGCAGUUGGGAAUUUUGGACAAUGGGGGAACCCCUGAUCCCGCCAUCCCGCGUGUGCGAUGAAGUCCUUCGGGUUGUAAAGCGCUUUUGGCAGGAAAGCGGUACCUACAGAAUACGCACCGGUUAAUUCCGUGCCAGCAGCCGCGGUAAUUC
rnacentral:rRNA from 1 species